AGCUUCUUAGCUUAUAAUUAAAGCAUGUAUUUUGAAAAUACAAGAAAGAGUCAUUUAGUAGCUU
rnacentral:tRNA from 1 species